UACAGAGGGUGCAAGCGUUGUUCGGAAUUACUGGGCGUAAAGCGCGUGUAGGUGGCGAUGUAAGUCGGGUGUGAAAUCCCUCAGCUUAACUGAGGAAGUGCACUCGAUACUGUGUCGCUUGAGUGUUGGAGGGGAUGGCGGAAUUCCCGGUGUAGAGGUGAAAUUCGUAGAUAUCGGGAGGAACACCUGUGGCGAAGGCGGCCAUCUGGACAACUACUGACACUGAGACGCGAAAGCGUGGGGAGCAAACAGG
rnacentral:rRNA from 1 species